rnacentral:rRNA from 1 species
AGGAUAAACGCUGGCGGCGUGCUUAACACAUGCAAGUCGAGCGGUAAGGCCCUUCGGGGUACACGAGCGGCGAACGGGUGAGUAACACGUGGGUGACCUGCCCUCCACUCUGGGAUAAGCCUUGGAAACGAGGUCUAAUACCGGAUAUGACCUCCCACUGCAUGGUGGGUGGUGGAAAGCGUUUAGUGGUGGGGGAUGGACCCGCGGCCUAUCAGCUUGUUGGUGGGGUAAUGGCCUACCAAGGCGACGACGGGUAGCCGGCCUGAGAGGGCGACCGGCCACACUGGGACUGAGACACGGCCCAGACUCCUACGGGAGGCAGCAGUGGGGAAUAUUGCACAAUGGGCGGAAGCCUGAUGCAGCGACGCCGCGUGAGGGAUGACGGCCUUCGGGUUGUAAACCUCUUUCACCUGUGACGAAGCGAAAGUGACGGUAGCAGGAGAGAAGCACCGGCCAACUACGCGCCAGCAGCCGC